rnacentral:rRNA from 1 species
AGAGUUUGAUCAUGGCUCAGAUUGAACGCUGGCGGCAUGCCUUACACAUGCAAGUCGAACGGCAGCGCGGGAGCAAUCCUGGCGGCGAGUGGCGAACGGGUGAGUAAUAUAUCGGAACGUGCCUUAGAGUGGGGGAUAACUAGUCGAAAGACUAGCUAAUACCGCAUACGACCUACGGGUGAAAGUGGGGGAUCGCAAGACCUCAUGCUCUUAGAGCGGCCGAUAUCUGAUUAGCUAGUUGGUGGGGUAAAAGCCUACCAAGGCGACGAUCAGUAGCUGGUCUGUGGGGACGAC